CCCUUAGAUGUUCUGGGCCGCACGCGCGCUACACUGAUGCAUUCAUCGAGUUUACAACCUUGAUCGAUAGGUCUGGGUAAUCUUUUAAAUGUGCAUCGUGCUAGGGAUAGAUUAUUGCAAUUAUUAAUCUUGAACGAGGAAUUCCUAGUAAACGCGAGUCAUCAGCUCGCGCUGAUUACGUCCCUGCCCUUUGUACACACCGCCCGUCGCUCCUACCGAUUGAGCGGUCCGGUGAAUAGUUCGGACUGCGCCUCGUGCAUCUGUGCUUGGCGCGGAAAGUUCAGUAAACCUUAUCGCUUAGAGGAAGGAGAANUCGUANCA
rnacentral:rRNA from 1 species